rnacentral:rRNA from 1 species
GAUUAAGCCAUGCAUGUGUAAGUAUAAAUAAUUCUACCUUGAAACUGCGAAUGGCUCAUUAUAUCAGUUAUAGUUUAUUAGAAAUAGUGUACUACUUGGAUAACCGUAGUAAUUCUAGGGCUAAUACAUGAGUAAAUCCUCGACUUUUGAAGAGGUGUAUUUAUUAGAAUGAAAACCAAUAGACUUUGUCUGUUUGUGAGUAAUAAUAACUUGUCAUAUCGCAUGCUUUUGUAGCGAUGUGUCUUUUAAGUUUCUGCCCUAUCAGCUUUCGAUGGUAGUGUAUUGGACUACCAUG